CCUACGGGCGGCAGCAGUAGGGAAUAUUGCUCAAUGGGGGAAACCCUGAAGCAGCAACGCCGCGUGGAGGAUGAAGGUUUUCGGAUUGUAAACUCCUUUUGUUAGAGAAGAUAAUGACGGUAUCUAACGAAUAAGCACCGGCUAACUCCGUGCCAGCAGCCGCGGUAAUACGGAGGGUGCAAGCGUUACUCGGAAUCACUGGGCGUAAAGGGCGCGUAGGCGGGAGAGCAAGUCAGAUGUGAAAUCCUAUGGCUUAACCAUAGAACUGCAUUUGAAACUGUGAUUCUAGAGUAUGGGAGAGGUAGGUGGAAUUCUUGGUGUAGGGGUAAAAUCCGUAGAGAUCAAGAGGAAUACUCAUUGCGAAGGCGACCUGCUAGAACAUAACUGACGCUGAUGCGCGAAAGCGUGGGGAGCAAACAGGAUUAGAUACCCGGGUAGUC
rnacentral:rRNA from 1 species